rnacentral:rRNA from 1 species
AGUAAUACAUCGGAACGUGUCUUCUAGUGGGGGAUAACUGCCCGAAAGGGCAGCUAAUACUGCAUGAGACCUGAGGGUGAAAGCGGGGGAUCGCAAGACCUCGCGCUGGAAGAGCGGCCGAUGUCCGAUUAGCUAGUUGGUGAGGUAAAGGCUCACCAAGGCGACGAUCGGUAGCUGGUCUGAGAGGACGACCAGCCACACUGGGACUGAGACACGGCCCAG